CAGGCUCGAGGCGGAAGCGAAGAGCUGCGGCUGUGGUUAGGGAGACCGCAGGGCAGAGUGGCCCCGGGGCAGAGGGGCCGGGGUCUGAGGCGCUUUCUCGGGGACGCGAGGUACCCGGGGGUGGCAGAGGCUUCCGAGGAAAGGCUGCGCGUGACGGUGAGCCCCCGCUUCCUGCCCCGAGGCCGGCAUCCCUGGCGGGACCCGAGGGGCCUGGUGCUAGGCUGGGCUGGGCCGGCCGGGGGCUGCUCGCGGGCCGCUUGCAGUUACCUCCUGGUCCUUCUGGACUGCCAGGAGGAAAUGGUUCUGGGGACGGUGCCUCCAUCUUCCCGCAUCCUCAGUUACAGCGUUACCAUAGCUGCCGUUAAGGCGGGAAACGAUGAACUCGGGCUCCUGACCCCGAGCCACCCCGAGGAAUCGUCUGAGCAUCCCGGGAUGAGGAAGGUGCGUGCAGAGUUUUAAGAUUUCGGGCUCUGGAGUGACCUCUGUAUCCCUGGCAGCACCUUCUGGCCUUCUGACCUGUUACACAAAUGGCCCAAGUCCCCUGAACCUCGGCUUUGUCGCUGCACGACGCGGAUCCUAAUAGUAUAUAGUCUUUAAGAUGGUUGAGAGAAUUAAAAGAUGUCUCUGCAGUAGGUAGCCAGCCAGAAGCCUGCCACGGCUAAGAACUAAGUUAACAUCUGUGCCCUGGUUAGGAGGGCAGUGGUCAGCAGCUCUCUCUUCGUCUGGUUUUGGUGUUGGAUUUCUGCAAGUAACAGUGCACUGAAGGAGAGAGAUUCCGUUUCUGAAAAAGGAGAGAGAAAUAGAUUCUCUACUGCUGAGCCACCUGGGAAGUCUAUAAGUGUACAAGUCCACCUUCUCCAAGUUCGAAUAACCUAGAUUGGCUCCUCGUUUCACUUAAUUCGUCCAAGGUGACCAGUAGGGAUCCUGGUGCAGGGUCACUCCAGUCAGACAUUACCCCUCAGCUGUGACCUUUUCCAGAUCUCCACCCCAGGGCUGAUUCUAUCCGGGAGCCUGGAGAUAUCAGAAGUGGAAGAGAGAAGUUCAGGAAUGCAAGAAAAGGAAACGCAGCAGGAGAAUGCACUAGAGUUAACUCUGUUCCCUGCUGUGGCCUUCCACCUCUUUAAUCAGCAGACUCUGAUGUUCGGGGAAGCAGUACAGGCAGCCCAGGAGAUGAGUCACGAGUGCCUCCCUCCAGUCCGUCAGAGAAUCUCAAUCACACUUGCUUUGAGUUUCUGACAGCCAGGGAGGCCCUGUGACCCAGUUCUGGUCCCAGAGAGAGAAUGAGAAGCUCUCGCUCGGGCAAGAUGGCUGGGAAUAAUCUCCUUUAGCACUGAAGCUGGGCAUGCAUGGGCAGGGCUCUGGGCCUUUCCCCUACUUUUCCUCCCCAGGAAGCAGCGCUGAGCCCUCUCACAGCUGUGAAAUGAUGAAACAAGCUGCUGAGGGAGGCAGGGUGUGAAAAGAGAGCCCAGGUUCUGAAUGAAAUUGCUGGGGCACCACUGGAGCUUGGCUGCAAGUGGACUGUUCUGCUCAAGCCGCUUCCUGGGUUUCCCACUCAUUGCGUCCCAGAUAAUACAGUCACAAGUGGGAACUGGAAGCUGAGGGUCCUGCCCCAGAGCUUGCUGAGGAAGACAGUGUGGAGAAGCAGCCCAGAUUGUUCCAGAUGGCCGAGACGCAUAUUGCAUCUCACAAAAGUAGCACAGACUCAGUAGGGUGGCUGUUUCCCCUAGGACGUCAGUCCACAGUGGUUUAAAUGACAUGCAAAUAAAAGAGGCAAUUUUGUGCAGACUAGCUUCCUGUCUUGUUUCUUGGCUGUUGAAUGUGUACCCAGUUCCUUUGCUGAUGUCAGAAUGUCCACAUCAGGAAAGCAUUCCUUUCCGGGUUUCCUCCUUCUCAGAAUCUUGAAGCCUGAUGAAGAAUACGGUAAGAUGUUCCAAGUGUCGCAGGAAACAAAUCCUAUUAGGCAGUACCGGUUGGGGAAAUCAUUAUGUAUAAAGAGCAUCCAUAAACACGUAGGUUUCUGUUGGCUACCCGGAACUCCUAAAAACUGUUCUUACAUGUUCUGGUAAGUGACCUGUUGACGUUAAACUGGAGAAUCCCAGGGUACAAGGAGAUUCACUAAAAUUAAUAAGAAGGAUCCCAGAAAGGUUAUUCU
ensembl:lncRNA